GACGAACGCUGGCGGCGUGCUUAACACAUGCAAGUCGAACGGAAAGGCCCUGCUUUUGUGGGGUGCUCGAGUGGCGAACGGGUGAGUAACACGUGAGUAACCUGCCCUUGACUUUGGGAUAACUUCAGGAAACUGGGGCUAAUACCGGAUAGGAGCUCCUGCUGCAUGGUGGGGGUUGGAAAGGUGCGGCGGUAGGGGAUGGACUCGCGGCUGAUCAGCUUGGGGGUGGGGUAGGGGCUUACCAAGGCUUUGACGGGUAGCCGGCCUGGGAGGGUGACCGGCGGCGUGGGGACUGAGGCACGGCCGGAAGUCCUAGGGGGGGCAGCAGUGGGGGGUAUGGCACAAGGGGGGGAACCGUGAGGCAGCGACGCCGCGGGAGUGGAGAAGUAGUUCGGUAUGUAAAGCCCUAUGAGAAGGGAAGAUAAUGACGGUACCGGAAUAAGAAGCCCCGGCUAACUACGUG
rnacentral:rRNA from 1 species